rnacentral:rRNA from 1 species
UACAGAGGGGGCAAGCGUUGUUCGGAAUCACUGGGCGUAAAGCGCACGUAGGCGGAUCUUUAAGUCAGAGGUGAAAUCCCAAGGCUCAACCUUGGAACUGCCUUUGAUACUGGGGAUCUUGAGUCCGGGAGAGGUGAGUGGAAUUCCCGGUGUAGCGGUGGAAUGCGUAGAUAUCGGGAAGAACACCGGUGGCGAAGGCGGCUCGCUGGGCCAUUGCUGACGCUGAGGCGCGAAAGCGUGGGGAGCAAACAGG